GAGCGGACCGACGGGAGCUUGCUCCCUUAGGUCAGCGGCGGACGGGUGAGUAACACGUGGGUAACCUGCCUGUAAGACUGGGAUAACUCCGGGAAACCGGGGCUAAUACCGGAUGCUUGAUUGAACCGCAUGGUUCCAUCCUUAAAAGGGGGUUUUAGCUUCCCCUUACCGAUGGACCCCCCGCGCAUUAACUAAUUGGGGAAGGAACGGCUCCCCCAGGGCACCAAUCCUAACCGACCUUAGAGGGUUAUCGGCCCCCCUGGGACUGAAAAACCGGCCAAAAUCCCACGGGAAGCAGCAGUAGGGGAUCUUCCGGCAAGGAAUAAAGUCUUACGG
rnacentral:rRNA from 1 species